rnacentral:rRNA from 1 species
UACAGAGGUCUCAAGCGUUGUUCGGAUUCAUUGGGCGUAAAGGGUGCGUAGGCGGCGCGGUAAGUCGGGUGUGAAAUCUCGGAGCUUAACUCCGAAACUGCAUUCGAUACUGCCGUGCUUGAGGACUGGAGGGGAGACUGGAAUUUACGGUGUAGCGGUGAAAUGCGUAGAUAUCGUAAGGAAGACCAGUGGCGAAGGCGGGUCUCUGGACAGUUCCUACGUGAGGCACGAAGGUCAGGGGAGCAAACGGG